UACGUAGGUUGCGAGCGUUAUUCGGAUUUACUGGGCGUAAAGAGCACCGAGGUGGCUUCUUAAGUUGGAUGUAAAAUCUCCUGGCUUAACUGGGAGGCGCCAUUCAAAACUGAGGAGCUUGAGGUCAGCAGGGGAAGGUGGAAUUCCCGGUGUAGUGGUGGAAUGCGUAGAGAUCGGGAGGAACACCCGUGGCGAAGGCGGCCAGCUGGGCCGUCCCUGACGCUGGGGCGCGAAUGCGUGGGGAGCGAACGGG
rnacentral:rRNA from 1 species